rnacentral:rRNA from 1 species
GGGGGGGGGGGGGGGGGGGGGGGGGGGGGGCGGGGCGGGCGGGCGGAGGGGGGGCUUGCUUCGGUGAUGUGAGGGGCGGACGGGGGAGGAACACGUGGGGAACCUGCCUAUAAGACUGGGAUACCUUCGGGAGACCGGAGCUAAUACCGGAUGAUAUUUUGAACCGCAUGGUUCAAACGUGAACGACGGUCUGCCUGUCACUUAUAAGUGGAUCCGCGCUGCAUUAGCUAGUUGGUAAGGUAACGGCUUACCAAGGCAAGGAUGCAUAGCCGACCUGAGAGGGUGAUCGGCCACACUGGAACUGAGACACGGUCCAGACUCCUACGGGAGGCAGCAGUAGGGAAUCUUCCGCAAUGGGCGAAAGCCUGACGGAGCAACGCCGCGUGAGUGAUGAAGGUCUUCGGAUCGUAAAACUCUGUUAUUAGGGAAGAACAUAUGUGUAAGUAACUGUGCACAUCUUGACGGUACCUAAUCAGAAAGCCACGGCUAACUACGUG